rnacentral:lncRNA from 1 species
UUUUCAGCAUCGCUUCAUACAACACCUAUAUAUUUUAGUACGUCUAAUUUUGUUUCUGAACCAAAAUCGGUAUUUAUUACUGAAUCUCCACCCAAUAAUAUUUCAUAUAUGUCUAUAAUGGUAAAGAAGCAAGUGAAGAAUUCAUCUUAUCGGAUAGGCCUAUACUUUGGAAUUGGAACAUGUGUAAUUCUAUUCGUCAUUAUAAUCCUGCUAAUUAUAAAGUGGUAUCUACAGAAGAAGCAGAAGACAAAUAAUUCUACAAGGUAAUUACUAUUAAAUAUAUUUCUAUUUGAAUGAUAGGAAGAAUAAAGGCUUCACUUAUU